AGCGAACGUUUGCGGCGGGCUUAACACAUGCAAGUCGAACGAGAAUCAUUCCUUCGGGGAUGAGGAAAGUGGCGCACGGGUGCGUAACACGUGGGUAACCAACCCCUUAGACUGGGACAACCCGGGGAAACUCGGGCUAAUACCGGAUGUGCCAUGCGGAACCUCGGUUCUGCAUGGGAAAUGGAGCAAUCCACUAGGGGACGGGCUCGCGGCCCAUCAGCUUGUUGGCGAGGUAAUGGCUCACCAAGGCUAAGACGGGUAGCUGGUCUGAGAGGAUGAUCAGCCACACUGGAACUGAGACACGGUCCAG
rnacentral:rRNA from 1 species